rnacentral:rRNA from 1 species
AUGAACGCUAGCGACAGGCCUAACACAUGCAAGUCGAGGGCAGCACAAGGAGCAAUCUGAGGUGGCGACCGGCGCACGGGUGAGUAACACGUAUGCAACCUGCCUGUAAGCGGGGAAUAACCCGUUGAAAGACGGACUAAUACCGCAUAAUACUAAAUUACUGCAUGGUAAUUUAUUUAAACAUUUAUGGCUUACAGAUGGGCAUGCGCAUGAUUAGCUAGUUGGAGAGGUAACGGCUCCCCAAGGCAACGAUCAUUAGGGGUUCUGAGAGGAAGGUCCCCCACACUGGUACUGAGACACGGACCAGACUCCUACGGGAGGCAGCAGUGAGGAAUAUUGGUCAAUGGACGAGAGUCUGAACCAGCCAAGUCGCGUGCAGGAAGAAUGUCCUUAAUGGAUUGUAAACUGCUUUUGCAGGGGAAUAAAGUGCAUCACGUGUGAUGUUUUGUAUGUACUCUGCGAAUAAGGAUCGGCUAACUACGUGCCAGCAGCCGC